ensembl:lincRNA Gm17382 predicted gene, 17382
GGGAAAACCGAUGUGGCAUGCUCUUCCCAGGCAACUGUGCUGGGACAGGGUCCCGCAAACGUCGCGGGAGAAAAACCGAAGACAUGAGGUGCUCCCAGUGCGGUCCAACAGGCGUAUUUUAAAUAUAUGUCCCCAGGUCCAUGACUGAAGAAAAUUCUGGAAGGACUCCCAGGAAGUUAUUUCUUUUUUCUGCUUGCUGUGAUAUUGAGGAGAAAACGGUGAUGACAUCUUUUUGGCUGGAUGGAACUGAUGGAAGAUUUAUGGAGCAGCUGAGGACUGUCAGAGCCAGACCCAGCAGAUUUCCUAAGAGAAUGACCAUGGCCUUUUCAUCAGCGAGCACACUGCCUUCUGAAAUGGUCUAACAUGAGAGAGAGAGAGAGAGAGAGAGAGAGAGAGAGAGAAGGAGAGGGAGAGGGAGAGGGAGAGGGAGAGAGGGAGAGAGAGAGAGAGCCCUAUCUAACCAGCCAUCAGUGAGGUUAUCCCUGUACCCCACAGCUGCUGCCACCCAAUCUGAAGGUUCCCGCUUCUGCUCUUGAAGUAUUUAUUGUAUGUGACCACACAGAAGUCCUAGCUGUCACCCACCGUCAAACCCCCUAGCCCCAGUCUGGGACCCAGAGCCCUCCAGGAGUGGGAAACUUCAUCCUAUACCUUCUCAGUCACAGGGAUUUCAGAAAUUAGUCACAGGAAGCAGGGAGGCCGAGAGUGGAGGCUUCCAAGAGGAGCCAGUAACAGGAUCUGGGAUCUUUCACCCCAGGUCACAGAAGCUUAGACUGUCCCCAAGGUAGAGAUGAGUGGUCAAGGAUGGAACCGGCCUUCCCAAGGCUUCUGCCAGCAGCAAGAGCUUUGGGGAGAUGGAACCUAUAGCCAGGCAGUCGUCCCCUCACUGACUGCUCUCUCCCGUAUCUCAAAUGUCUGUCCUAAUACUCUCAACUCUGAGAGACAACAAGGGGUUGACUGGAGCCCAGAACCCAGCAUGUAUCUGAAACAAAGUCUUGACCUGACUUCCAGCCCUCCCCUCAUGAAUGAACACUGUUGCAUCUCAGAGUACUCUCAGACAUCCCAGAAUUGUCACUCACAGACAUCUCAUGUGGACAGACAGUAAAUGAUAAUCAUUCUGAAGGUAUGGAAAAGUUGUGGGGUGGUAGAGGCAGAAGGCACUGGGUUCAAUCCUCUAUAUGGAGAGAAAGAUGAUAGAUAGAUAGAUAGAUAGAUAGAUAGAUAGAUAGAUAGAUAGAUAGAUGAUAGAUAGAUAGACAGACAGAUAAAUAGAUAGAUCAGAGACACACACUAAAUAUCUACCAACAGAAAAUAGUUUAGGGCUGGUGAGAUAGCUCAGCAGUUAAGAGCACUGACUGCUUUUCCAAAGGUCCCAAGUUCAAAUCCCAGUCACCACAUGGUAGCUCACAACCCUCUAUAAGGAGAUCUGAUGCCCUCUUCUGGAGUAUCUGAAAACAGUUACAGUGUAGUUACAUAUAAUAAAUAUAUC